rnacentral:rRNA from 1 species
CCUACGGGACGCAGCAGUGGGGGAUAUUGCACAAUGGGGGAAACCCUGAUGCAGCGACGCCGCGUGGGUGAAGAAGCGCCUCGGCGCGUAAAGCCCUGUCAGCAGGGAAGAAAAUGACGGUACCUGAAGAAGAAGCCCCGGCUAACUACGUGCCAGCAGCCGCGGUAAUACGUAGGGGGCAAGCGUUAUCCGGAUUUACUGGGUGUAAAGGGGGCGCAGACGGCGCUGCAAGCCAGGAGUGAAAGCCCGGUGCCCAACCCCGGGACUGCUCUUGGAACUGCGUGGCUAGAGUGCAGGAGGGGCAG